rnacentral:rRNA from 1 species
UACGUAGGGUGCAAGCGUUGUCCGGAAUUAUUGGGCGUAAAGAGCUCGUAGGCGGUUUGUCGCGUCUGCUGUGAAAAUCCAGGGCUUAACCCUGGACCUGCAGUGGGUACGGGCAGACUAGAGGGCGGUAGGGGAGAUCGGAAUUCCUGGUGUAGCGGUGAAAUGCGCAGAUAUCAGGAGGAACACCGGUGGCGAAGGCGGAUCUCUGGGCCGUAACUGACGCUGAGGAGCGAAAGCAUGGGGAGCGAACAGG